UCAAACUUGGUCAUUUAGAGGAAGUAAAAGUCGUAACAAGGUCUCCGUAGGUGAACCUGCGGAGGGAUCAUUACAGAGUUCAUGCCCUCACGGGUAGAUCUCCCACCCUUGUGUAUUUAUACCUUUGUUGCUUUGGCAGGCCGCCUGGGCUCACGCCUGGCCACCGGCUCUUGGGCUGGUGCGUGCCUGCCAGAGGAUCUCCAAACUCUAGUUAUCAGUGUUGUCUGAGUACUAUACAAUAGUUAAAACUUUCAACAACGGAUCUCUUGGUUCUGGCAUCGAUGAAGAACGCAGC
rnacentral:misc_RNA from 1 species